UACGAAGGGUGCAAGCGUUAAUCGGAAUUACUGGGCGUAAAGCGUGCGUAGGCGGUUUGUUAAGUCCGAUGUGAAAGCCCUGGGCUCAACCUGGGAAUGGCAUUGGAAACUGGCGAGCUAGAGUAAGGUAGAGGAGUGCGGAAUUCCUGGUGUAGCGGUGAAAUGCGUAGAGAUCAGGAGGAACAUCCGUGGCGAAGGCGGCACUCUGGACCAUUACUGACGCUGAGGCACGAAAGCGUGGGGAGCAAACAGG
rnacentral:rRNA from 1 species